rnacentral:rRNA from 1 species
GAUGAACGCUGGCGGCGUGCCUAAUACAUGCAAGUCGAGCGAUCGGACGAGAAGCUUGCUUCUCUUAUGUUAGCGGCGGACGGGUGAGUAACACGUGGAUAACCUACCUAUAAGACUGGGAUAACUUCGGGAAACCGGAGCUAAUACCGGAUAAUAUUUUGAACCGCAUGGUUCAACAGUAAAAGACGGUCUUGCUGUCCCUUCUAGAUGAAUCCGGGCUGCUUUAGCUAGUUGUUAAGUUAACGGCUUACCAAGCCAACGAUGCAUAGCCGACCUGAGAGGGGGAUCGGCAACACGGGAACGGGGACACGGUCCAGACUCCUACGGGAGGCAGCAGAAGGGAAUCUUCGGAAAUGGGCGAAAGCCUGACGGAGCAACGCCGCGUGAGUGAUGAAGGUCUUCGGAUCGUAAAACUCUGUUAUUAGGGAAGAACAGAUGUGUAAGUAACUGUGCACAUCUUGACGGUACCUAAUCAGAAAGCCACGGCUAACUACGUG